rnacentral:lncRNA from 1 species
GAGUUUUCCGCACUAUGGAGGUACAAAAAUAAACUACUAGACUAAAUGAAAGGGCCAUUUACACACUCCAUAACCUUAAAUCUAUAUAAAAAAAAAAGAAAAAAAAAGUCCAAAUUAUUUUCAUAUAGUUGGACUUGAUAGACGAAGCUGGCCCAUAAUACAUUGAGCUGCAUUAUAAGAUAGCACUGGUUAUGAUUGGGCUCUUUCUCCCUGCACCCUCUGAUUUCUUCCUGCACCUUCAUUAGUUUUUGGAAAAUGUCAAAAAUGCCUGUCCUGUUCAUGCAAUAUUGUUGGAAAAACUAUGGAUUAAGCUGGC